AAAGAAAGUAAAUAAGGGCGUAUGGCGGAUGCCUAGGCUCAUGGAGGCGAUGAAGGACGUGAUAAGCUGCGUUAAGCCUUGGGUAGGUGCAAAUAACCUUUGAUCCAAGGAUUUCCGAAUGGGACAACCCAACUAUCAUCAGAUAGUUAUUACUGUAAUCAGUAAGGCAAACGGAGGGAACUGAAACAUCUUAGUACCUCCAGGAGAAGAAAAUAAUUAAAUGAUUCCCUUAGUAGUGGCGAGCGAACGGGGAGAAGCCCAAACCACGGUUGUAGCAAUGCAAUCGUGGGGUAGUAGGACCAUAAUAUUGUACUUUGAUUGUGAAUAGAAUGAACUGGAACGUUCAGCCAUAGCGGGUGAAAGCCCCUUAUAUGAAGCAAGAGAAGACAUAGUGUCAUCCUGAGUAACGCGGAGCACGAGAAAUUCUGCGCGAAUCAGCCGGGCCCAUCCGGUAAGGCUAAAUACUCCCAUGAGACCGAUAGUGAACCAGUACCGUGAGGGAAAGGUGAAAAGAACCUCGAUGAGAGGAGUGCAAUAGAUCCUGAAACCAUACGCCUACAAGCGGUCGGAGCUGCUUUAUGCAGUGACGGCGUGCCUUUUGCAUAAUGAACCUACGAGUUACCGUCACCGGCAAGGUUAAGGAUAUUGAUAUCCGUCAACCGUAGUGAAAGCGAGCCUGAAGAGGGCGUUUUAGUCGGUGGAGGUAGACGCGAAACCAAGUGAUCUACACAUGUCCAGGUUGAAGUCUCGGUAACACGAG
rnacentral:rRNA from 1 species